rnacentral:rRNA from 1 species
CAUGGCUCAGGACGAACGCCGGUGGCGUGCCUAAUACAUGCAAGUUGAGCGCUGAAGGUUGGUACUUGUACCGACUGGAUGAGCAGCGAACGGGUGAGUAAUGCGUGGGGAAUCUGCCUUUGAGCGGGGGACAACAUUCGGAAACGAAUGCUAAUACCGCAUAAAAACUUUAAACACAAGUUUUAAGUUUGAAAGAUGCAAUUGCAUCACUCAAAGAUGAUCCCGCGUUGUAUUAGCUAGUUGGUGAGGUAAAGGCUCACCAAGGCGGUGAUACAUAGCCGACCUGAGAGGGUGAUCGGCCACAUUGGGACUGAGACACGGCCCAAACUCCUACGGGAGGCAGCAGUAGGGAAUCUUCGGCAAUGGACGAAAGUCUGACCGAGCAACGCCGCGUGAGUGAAGAAGGUUUUCGGAUCGUAAAACUCUGUUGGUAGAGAAGAACGUUGAUGAGAGUGGAAAGCUCAUCAA